AAAGAAUCACAUGCAUACCUGAAUGCCUGCAAACUGAGCUAGGUGCAUGGAGGGGCAGAGGGGUAUUGCAAGCUGUGUGUGCCGCGCGUGUGUCAGAGGCUGGCUUCGGAGGAAGAGACUGAGGAAACGAUGUACGCAGAGGCUGCGUGGAGGAAUGAGCACAGUGCAUGAGGAGCGAUGAACCCUGGCAGAGAGUCUGGGCUUCUGAGCGUGUGACCAGGCAACAAAACAGGAGCCCAGAGAGGUCCUAUUUGGGGAUGAGUAGUUGAUCUGUCCUGGUAUCCAGGCCUUCUCAUCUGGGGCCAGGGCUUCUUGCCUUGCCAUUUGGCCCUCCUGG